rnacentral:lncRNA from 1 species
AGAGAGAAGAGGAAAGAAAGAGGAAGUAAUAUCCCUCAGAGUGGCUUCAUCCACUUGCCCUCCCUGCUCUAGGAUGCUGGACCUACAAGGAAACUCCCAGGACAUGAGAACCCAAAUGUCACUGACCCUGAGCAACACUCUAGGAAGCCCGGGGGCUGAAGUGGAAAUAGGAAGCAGCAGUUGCUCAGUGAAUGAGUGCCUCAUCCGGAGCCACACUCAGAUGAACAGAAGAGGCAGAAGUGUGCAGCGUGGGCUCCGGGACCAAUGGUCACAGGCAGACUCAGAUAUCGGCCAGAGAAGGACACCCAAAUGCUGAGCAACAGAGGAGAGGCUCCCCAGAACCUCAGCUGAGGUGCUAGUAUCAGAGAAAGAGGAAACUGGAGCUGGACAAGCAAGAACAUCAGUGUCCAUGUAGAAGGUUGCACUGGACAUUAUCUCAAGUAAUUGGGAAACUGGGCCCUCCAGGAGCAUUUCCAGAGUUACCUGGGCAAAGGUAAGUAACAUGUAUGUUAACAAGUGCUAUGCUCUUGCCACCCUUUUGGGCCUCUGCAGGGUCAUUGUUCUGCAAAGACACAAGUGACUUCAGUUGUUGUGCUGCUGGGUUCCCACCAAUG